AUUAAAUGGCUGCAGUAUUUUAACUGUACAAAGGUAGCAUAAUAAAUAGUUUCUUAAUUGGGAGCUUGUAUGAAAGGGUUUAUGAAGUAUAAUUUUUAUUUUAUUUAUUUUUAGAAUUUUAUUUCUAAGUAAAAAAGCUUAGUUAAUUUUUUGGGACGAAAAGACCCUAUAGAACUUUAUUAAUUUAUUAAUUAUUUAUUUUUAGCUGAAAUUAUUAUAAUAAUAUUUAAAUUAAUUUGGUUGGGGCGAUUAUUAAGAAUAAUAAACUUUAAUUUUAUAUUUCAUUGAUUUGUGAUUUAUUUGAUCCAAUAUUUUUGAUUAAAAGAUUUAGUUACCUUAGGGAUAACAGCGUAAUUUUAAUGGAGAGUUCUUAUUUAUAUUAAAGUUUGCGACCUCGAUGUUGAAUUAAGAUUAGAAUAUGGGGCAG
rnacentral:rRNA from 1 species